GAGGAGGCUCCCAGCCCUGGGGAUGCUUCUUGGCCAUGAGCUGCCUGUCCUCGCUCAGACAAAGGAAGGACCCAACCUUAACAUCCAUGGGAGAAAACCCAAGGCAGCAGAUGGAAGAAGAGCUACAAAGAUAGCAGUCAUUGGAGGAACAAAGAAAGGAUUCCGUGAGUCAGGAGCUUGGCCAGGCUCAGCUGGGACACUCAUCUUUGCUUCACCUCAUGUCAGCUGCAGCAUCUUAGGAAUGCAAGACAGCCUCAUUCACAUCCGGCGGCGGGUGCUGGCUGUCCACUGGGUGCCUUCGCUCUUUUUCAAGUGGUUUCUCAUCCUCUGGGGUUUCACUGUCUCCAUGUGGCCUCCCUAGCAAGUUGCUUAGAUUUCUUUACGUGGAAACUGGCUUUCUAGAGGGUAAAAAUGGAAGCUGCAAGGACUCUUAUGGCCCAGAAGUCCCAGAACGUCACUUCUUCCACAAGUCAUAGGGCCAGCCAAGAUUCAAGGGGAAGGAAACAGACUCUGUCUCUUCAUAUUUCAAUGGGACAAAUUGUUGCAGCCACCUUUGGAAACAAUCUACUGCAAUACACUACAGCAGUGGACAUCUGGGCCCUUACCAGGCGCCAGACGCCGUACUAACAGCUUUAUACGGAUGAACUCAUUUAAUCCUCCCAAACUCCAUGAGGUUUUGCAGCCCUUGCCAUGAGUGGCCAGUUGCUGAUAGCAUUGCUGCUGCCUGUUGCUAUUCUGGGAUAGGAACCGAGGAUGUGCUGUGAUUACCCAGACCAGAAGGAAGCUCAGAAGGCACUGGUCCUCUCAGGUGGCACCCAGAUCCAAUGUGAGCCAUGGGGGAUGAAGGGUGGUUAAGUGAAAAGCUUUGGAGUGCUGACAGGUGGUCCCCCUGAUAUGCCAGGAAAUUACUUCCGGGCAAGAGAAACAAAGGAGAGUCCAUCUUCUAAUGUUACUGGCGCCAUACCAACAAGGUGUCAGCUAGAAACCUCUCUCUCUCUCUUGCAAAUUCUAGCCUGCAAAACCUGAGGACUGGCCUCAGGCUAGUCAGAAAUUUGCCUGAAAACAUCAUUCCUUGGGGUGGUGGGACUUCUGGGUAAGCCAGUGUGACUUGAAUUCUUGAUUUCUUAUACUCCCUUCUAACCAACCACCUGAAUGCUGAUCUCUACUGGCUGUCUGUGUGCCUUGCAUUUCAAUCAGCAGCCUUACAAAUGAUGAUGAGGAGAAGGAGGAGGAUGAGGACAAUAGCCAACAUUUACUGUUCUUUAGCUACUGUCCUAAGUACUUUACAAAUACCAGAUAAUUUUUUCUUCAUAACACUGUCAUUACUCCCAUUUUACAGAUGAAGAAAACAAGGCUUAAAUAGAUCACAUGAUUUGGUCAAGGUCACUCAUGCCACAGAGCCUGAAUCCAAAUCCAGUGAAGCCUCCAGAGCCUAGUUUCUACCCAUGACCCUGUGUUGCCUAUUGAUGGUACAGUGUAGGUUUUUUCCUUCUUCCUUUUUCUUUUUUUGAAAGUCUUUAUUGAAUUAUAAUUGGCAUACCAUUAACUGCAAAUAUUUGAAAAAUACAAUUUUAUGAGCUCUGACAUACAUACACCCAUAAAACCAUUGUUACAAUCAAGAUAAUGAAUAUGUCCGUCAUUCCCCAAAAGCUUCCCUGUGCCCCUUGGUAAUCCACCCCUCACUCCCCACCCCAUUCUGUUCCUAGGCAACCAAUCAUCUGUUUUCUGUCAGAUUAAUUUGCAUUUUCUAGAGUUUUAUAUAUGGAAGCAGACAGCAUGUACUCUUUUUUUGUCUGGCUUCUUUCACUCAGCAUAAUUAUUUUUAGGUUCAUCUAUAUUGGUGCAUGUAUCAACAAUUCAUUCUUUUCUAUUCCUGAGUACUAUUCCAUUAUAUAGGUGUACUAAAUUUGUUUAUUCAACUCUUGAUGGACAUUGAGUUGUUUACAGUUUUUGGCUAUUACAAAUAAAGCUGCUAUGAACCUUC